GCCAGGCACAAUCAAAGCAGCAUAUGGAGAGUUUUUAUGGAGCCAUGUCUCUGAAAGGCAGAGGAAGUCAAGGUUGGAGUCUGUGAGAAGAUGUUGAAUUUGAUCACUUUUUGGAAUGACACUACGAAUGUUCAAGUGCCCUCCUAGUAUUCCCUUGGGCUUAGCUUGUGGGUCCCAGAUAACUCGAGAGUAAUUGACACAUUUAAAAAAGUUACAUUUUCUGUGUUUUCUGACGGCUGGGUUUAGUUUUGUUUAGGGGCAGUUCGGUAGCGCAAUUAACAAUCCCUCCCGCUUGCACUGGAUGUGAGGAACUAAUUAAAACAGCUUGCGUACCAGAAGCAGAGUCACGGAUUGCAUAUAGCGACUUGGGUAUGUUUGAAGAAUCAAAUUCCAUCCUGGAGCCGGGUGAGUCGAGAGAAACCAUGGGACCAUAGCACUUACCCACUUCCGCAGCGGCGACGAUCAGUGGACGAGGCCAUCCACUGCUUUCCACUCUGAGAGAAGCAAUGGGGUUCCAGACUCUGAGAAGGAUGAUGAUGGUGGCCCAGUUUCCAAUCAGUCCCAACUGUCCACAGACGUCUGUCCUUACAGAAUACUGACACCAAUGUUGGAAGCAUCAGGGAGUUUUUUGUUUUGGUUGGUGAUGUCAGGUCCAGGUGUGGCUUCCGAAGGAACUGGGGAUGCCUCAGCUGGCUUGUCAGGCUUUCACGCCUUUGCUGGCUCGAGAGGUUUUCUUGCCUCGUUUGGCUCAGCAGGCUCCUAUCCCACGUCAUGCCUCGGCCGGCUCGUCGGGCUCCUGCGCCUCGGCCGGCUCGUCGGGCUUCCGCAUCUUGGCCGGCUCGUCGGGCCUCAACGCCUCAACCGUCUCGUCCGACUCCCGUGACACAGAGGAGGGUACUGUCACGCCUGCUCCCACUCCUCCUCGCCAGGCUGCCCAUCACUACGCAUACCUGUCGCCAUCAUUACACGCAUCAGCGCUUCAUUGGACUCACCUGGACUCCUUCACUUUGUUGAUUUCCCCCUCUAUAUCUGUCUGUUCCUCAGUUUGAUCCCUGUGUCAACAUUAAUGUUUCCCCUGUCCAGACGCUGUCCAUGUUUUGUUUCUUGUCCGUUAUUUAUUAAAUGUUCACUCCCUGUACAUACUUCUUGUCUCCCAGCGUCUGUCCUAACAGCAACUUUUACCAUUUGUUGUUAUGCACAUACUGUAUGCCUGCGCUGGUUUGCCUUAGUUUUAAAGGUUUAGAUUUAUAAGGAGCUGGCAACCAAUAAAAUGCUGAGGUUCAGGGCUGCAGCAUAUGCCACCACCACCUGUGACCUACAGUGGGGGAAAAAUGUAUUUCAUCCCCUGCUGAUUUUGUACGUUUGCUCACUUACAAAGAAAUGAUCAGUCUAUAAUUUUAAUGGUAGGUUUAUUUGAACAGUG
rnacentral:lncRNA from 1 species